rnacentral:rRNA from 1 species
UACGUAGGGUGCAAGCGUUAAUCGGAAUUACUGGGCGUAAAGGGCGCGUAGGCGGAUAGUACAGUCAGGCGUGAAAUUCCUGGGCUCAACCUGGGGGCUGCGUUUGAUACGUAUUGUCUGGAGUUCGGAAGAGGGUCGUGGAAUUCCCAGUGUAGAGGUGAAAUUCGUAGAUAUCGGGAGGAACACCAGUAGCGAAGGCGGCACUCUGGGCCGGUACUGACGCUGAGGAGCGAAAGCGUGGGGAGCGAACAGG